UGAACUGGAGCAGCAGAACUUCUGCUUUGUCAUCGCGGUUCGUGGACGCUACUUUACUGCCUCCUGGUCCAAACACAGGACUGAAACAUGGCCGAAGAACAAACAGACGGGCAGUGGGACAACUCUGUUGAGAAAACCCUUGGAGAAACUAAUAAGGAGCAUCUUAUCUGCAGUAAAAACUCUGAAGUAGAUGGCGACACUGAAGAUUCAUUUGCUGAACGUCUUGGCUAUGAGAUAGUUAGUGUGAAUGAGGCGCAGGACAAUGUAACUGGGUCACAGAACAGGCCUGAAAAGAAACCUCAUGCAGAACCUGAUGAUGAAGACCACGCUGAGACAACCUGUGAUGAAGAUGAGGACUUUGUGAAUGUGGAAAAACCCUGUAAGACCUGUGUUUGACACCAUUGGUCUGAGGAAUAAUCA
rnacentral:lncRNA from 1 species